rnacentral:rRNA from 1 species
UUCCGGUUGAUCCUGCCGGAGGUCACUGCUAUUGGGAUUCGGCUAAGCCAUGCAAGCGGAGGGCGCGGUCGAAAGAUCGUGGCCCCGCACACUGCUCAGUAACACGUAGUCAACCUACCCUUGGGACGGGGACAACCUCGGGAAACUGAGGCUAAUCCCCGAUAGGUGAGGGACGCUGGAAUGCCUCCUCGCCCAAAGCUCCGGCGCCCAAGGAUGGGACUGCGGUCUAUCAGGCUGUUGGUGGUGUAACGGACCACCAAACCUACGACGGGUACGGGCGAUGGGAGUCGGAGCCCGGAGAUGGGGACUGAGACAAGGCCCCAGGCCCUACGGGGCGCAGCAGGCGCGAAAACUCCGCAAUGCGCGCAAGCGUGACGGGGGAAUCCCAAGUGCCGUUGGUCUUAUGAUCGACGGUUUUUAGGAAGUCUAAGAAGCUUCCAGAAUAAGGGCUGGGCAAGACUGGUGCCAGCCGCCGCGGUAACACCAGCAGCCCAAGUGGUGACCACGAUUAUUGGGCCUAAAGCGCUCGUAGCCGGAUCAGCAAGUCCCUUGUGAAAUCGGGCCGCCUAACGGUUCGGCGUGCAAGGGAUACUGUUGGUCUUGAGGCCGGGAGAGGUCGGAGGUACUCCUGGGGUAGCGGUGAAAUGCUCUAAUCCUGGGGGGACCACCAGUGGCGAAGGCGUCCGACCAGAACGGACCUGACGGUGAGGGGCGAAGGCUAGGGAGCGAACGGGAUUAGAUACCCCGGUAGUCCUAGCUGUAAAGCAUGCGGGCCAGGUGUCUAGCGCUCCUCGAGGGCGCUAGGUGCCGGAGGGAAGCCGUUAAGCCCGCCGCCUGGGAAGUACGGCCGCAAGGUUGAAACUUAAAGAAAUUGGCGGGGGGAGCACCCACAAGAAGGUGGGACCUGCGUUCAAUUGGACUCAACGCCGG